AGGGUUCGAUUCUGGCUCAGGAUGAACGCUAGCGGCAGGCUUAACACAUGCAAGUCGAGGGGCAGCGGGAUGUAGCAAUACAUUGCCGGCGACCGGCGGAUGGGUGCGUAACGCGUAUGCAACCUACCUUAUACAGGGGAAUAACCUUUCGAAAGGGAGACUAACACCCCAUAGUAUUGAUUUAAGGCAUCUUAGAUUAAUUAAAUAUUUAUAGGUAUAAGAUGGGCAUGCGUAUGAUUAGCUAGUUGGUAAGGUAACGGCUUACCAAGGCGACGAUCAUUAGGGGUUCUGAGAGGAAGGUCCCCCACACUGGUACUGAGACACGGACCAGACUCCUACGGGAGGCAGCAGUGAGGAAUAUUGGUCAAUGGGCGCAAGCCUGAACCAGCCAUGCCGCGUGCAGGAAAGACGGCCUUAUGGGUUGUAAACUGCUUUUACAUAAGACUAACCGUAUAUUUGCGAAUAUACCUGAAUGUAUUAUGAGAAUAAGGAUCGGCUAACUCCGUGCCAGCCGCAGC
rnacentral:rRNA from 1 species